GACAGAGGGUGCAAACGUUGUUCGGAUUUACUGAGCGUAAAGCGUGUGUAGGCGGCUUUGCAAGUCGGAUGUGAAAUCCCACGGCUCAACCGUGGAAGUGCAUCCGAAACGGCAUCGCUUGAGUCUCGGAGAGGAAGGUGGAAUGCUUGGUGUAGAGGUGAAAUUCGUAGAUAUCGGGAGGAACACCGGUGGCGAAGGCGGCUAUCUGGACGGUUUCUGACGCGUAAGACGCGAAAGCGUGGGGAGCAAACAGG
rnacentral:rRNA from 1 species